GACUAGUUCAAGUGGUAUUUGCAACUAAUUGAUCACAACCAGUUACAGAUAUCUUUGUUCCUUUUCUAUUCUCAUUGCUUUACUUGACUGGCCUUAA
rnacentral:Y_RNA from 1 species